rnacentral:rRNA from 1 species
UUCCGGUUGAUCCUGCCGGACCCGACCGCUUUUGGGAUGGGAUUAAGCCAUGCAAGUUGAGCUGAUGGAGAGCGGCAAAAAGCUCUGUAACGUGUAGUUAACCUACCCUCAGGACGGGCAUACCCACGGGAAACUGUGGUCAAUUCCCGAUAGUUGAUUAGGCCUGGAAUGGUUUUUCUUCCAAAGGAUAUGAUACCUGAGGAUGGGACUGCAUCUGAUUAGCUUGUUGGUGGGGUAACGGCCCACCAAGGCGAUAAUCAGUACGGGCUGUGAGAGCAGUAGCCCGGAGAUGGAGACUGAGACAACGCUCCAGGGCCUACGGGCCGCAGCAGGCGCGAAACCUCCGCAAUGCACGAAAGUGUGACGGGGCCAUCCCAAGUGCUGGGAGAUAAAUCCAGCUUUUGCCUAGUGUAAAUAGCUAGGCGAAUAAGGGGAGGGCAAGGUCUGGUGCCAGCCGCCGCGGUAAAACCAGCUCCUCGAGUAGUCGGGAGGAUUACUGGGUCUAAAGCGUCCGUAGCCGGCUUUGUAAGUUCCUGGUCAAACCCAGCGGCUUAACCGUUGGCUUGCUGGGGAUACUGCAAGGCUUGGGAAUCAGAGAGGCCAAGGGUACUAACAGGGUAGGGGUGAAAUCCUGUAAUCCUGUUGGGACCACCGGUGGCGAAGGCGCUUGGCUGGAAGAUGUCCGACGGUGAGGGACGAAAGCCAGGGGAGCGAACCGGAUUAGAUACCCGGGUAGUCCUGGCUGUAAACGAUGCGAGCUAGGUGUUUGCGUGGCUACGGGCUAUGCAAGUGCCGUAGAGAAGUCGUUAAGCUCGCCACCUGGGGAGUACGGCCGCAAGGCUGAAAAGGAAAGGAAUUGGCGGGGGAGCACCACAAGGGGUGAAGCCUGCGGUUUAAUUGGAUUCAACGCCGGA